rnacentral:tRNA from 1 species
GGGCUCGUAGCUCAGCGGGAGAGCGCUGCCUUCGCAAGGCAGAUGCCGUGGGUUCAAAUCCCACCGAGUCCA